UUUACUAUUUGUAUAGUGCUCAGACAGUACUAAAUGACAGAGUUUGGUCCUCUGGCGGGCACUUGCGAGUAAAACCCGCAGUGGAGACCACGGCCCGCCAAAGCAACGAAAGUAUAUAGACACGGGUGGGGAUAGUGCCCAAAGGGCUUCUAUCUGGUAAUGAUCCUUCCGCAGGUUCACCUACGGAAA
rnacentral:misc_RNA from 1 species